UGCCAGAGCUAUAUCUCCCUGCAGUUCUUGCCUGGUUUCCCACUGAAGUCAAGCAGGGCUGAACCUGGCCUGUACCUGGAUAGGAGACCUCCUGGGGAACACUAAGAUUGCUGUUGGAA
rnacentral:rRNA from 1 species